UACGUAGGUCCCGAGCGUUGUCCGGAUUUAUUGGGCGUAAAGCGAGCGCAGGUGGUUUAUUAAGUCUGGUGUAAAAGGCAGUGGCUCAACCAUUGUAUGCAUUGGAAACUAGUAGACUUGAGUGCAGGAGAGGAGAGUGGAAUUCCAUGUGUAGCGGUGAAAUGUGUAGAUAUUAGGAGGAACACCGGUGGCGAAGGCGGCUUACUGGACUGUAACUGACGUUGAGGCUCGAAAGCGUGGGGAGCAAACAGG
rnacentral:rRNA from 1 species